UACGUAGGGUGCAAGCGUUAAUCGGAAUUACUGGGCGUAAAGCGUGCGCAGGCGGUUGUGCAAGACCGAUGUGAAAUCCCCGGGCUCAACCUGGGAAUGGCAUUGGUGACUGCACGGCUAGAGUGUGUCAGAGGGGGGUAGAAUUCCACGUGUAGCAGUGAAAUGCGUAAAGAUGUGGAGGAAUACCGAUGGCGAAGGCAGCCCCCUGGGAUAACACUGACGCUCAUGCACGAAAGCGUGGGGAGCAAACAGG
rnacentral:rRNA from 1 species